GGGAAAACCGUCGAGACAAACAAGCGUCGAGAGGGAACGCUACGAAAAUCGAAAAUUUUGUCGCUACGAAAAUCAUUGGAUGUUCAAGUGAAUAACCGUCAUCAUCAGCUUUGAUACAUUCAACAUAUUGCUAAUGGCUGGAGGCUAUGAUAGUGACCGUUUCGUUUAUCCUGUUCAAGAAGAUUUCUACUGCAUUAUUUGCUGUAAUGUCUUAAGCGAUGCGCGAUUAUGCGAGGCAGGAGAACAUCAUUUUUGUUUUAAUUGCAUAUCACAAUACCUUCCUAAUUCAUCAACGUGCCCAGUGUGUCGACAACGUC